UUUGAUCCUGGCUCAGGACGAACGCUGGCGGCGUGCUUAACACAUGCAAGUCGAACGAUGAACCACUUCGGUGGGGAUUAGUGGCGAACGGGUGAGUAACACGUGGGCAAUCUGCCCUGCACUCUGGGACAAGCCCUGGAAACGGGGUCUAAUACCGGAUACGAGUCACCAGGGCAUCCUGGUGUCUGGAAAGCUCCGGCGGUGCAGGAUGAGCCCGCGGCCUAUCAGCUUGUUGGUGAGGUAACGGCUCACCAAGGCGACGACGGGUAGCCGGCCUGAGAGGGCGACCGGCCACACUGGGACUGAGACACGGCCCAGACUCCUACGGGAGGCAGCAGUGGGGAAUAUUGCACAAUGGGCGCAAGCCUGAUGCAGCGACGCCGCGUGAGGGAUGACGGCCUUCGGGUUGUAAACCUCUUUCAGCAGGGAAGAAGCGAAAGUGACGGUACCUGCAGAAGAAGC
rnacentral:rRNA from 1 species